rnacentral:sRNA from 1 species
UGCAUACGCCUCUUUGGGCGUUUCCUCCCUAGACUUCGGGCCGCCUUUCGGGGCGGCCUUUUUUUUGCACAAA